rnacentral:rRNA from 1 species
AAAAUUUCCGGAGGUAUACGAUGGACCCGCGUCUGAUUAGCCAGUUGGCAGGGUAACGGCCUACCAAAGCAACGAUCAGUAGCCGGCCUGAGAGGGUGGACGGCCACAUUGGGACUGAGACACGGCCCAAACUCCUGCGGGAGGCAGCAGUGGGGGAUAUUGCACAAUGGGGGAAACCCUGAUGCAGCGACGCCGCGUGAGUGAAGAAGCAUUUCGGUGUGUAAAGCUCUAUCAGCAGGGAAGAAGAAUGACGGUACCUGACUAAGAAGCCCCGGCUAACUACGUGCCAGCAGCCGCGGUAAUACGUAGGGGGCAAGCGUUAUCCGGAUUUACUGGGUGUAAAGGGAGCGUAGACGGCAAUGCAAGCCAGAUGUGAAAACCCGCAGCUCAACUGGGGGAGUGCAUUUGGAACUGUGUAGCUGGAGUGCAGGAGAGGUAAGCGGAAUUCCUGGUGUAGCGGUGAAAUGCGUAGAUAUCAGGAGGAACACCAGUGGCGAAGGCGGCUUACUGGACUGUAACUGACGUUGAGGCUCGAAAGCGUGGGGAGCAAACAGGAUUAGAUACCCUGGUAGUCCACGCUGUAA